rnacentral:rRNA from 1 species
GGGCCGCACGCGCGCUACACUGACAGAGCCAGCGAGUAAUAACCUUUGCCGGAAGGCAUGGGUAAUCUUGUGAAACUCUGUCGUGAUGGGGAUAGAACAUUGCAAUUAUUGUUCUUCAACGAGGAAUACCUAGUAAGCGUGAUUCAUCAGAUCGCGUUGAUUACGUCCC